rnacentral:rRNA from 1 species
UACGUAGGGGGCAAGCGUUGUCCGGAAUCACUGGGCGUAAAGCGCGCGCAGGCGGUCAUUCACGUCCGGGGUGAAAACCCAGAGCUCAACUCUGGGACUGCCUUGGAUACGGGGUGACUUGAGGAUCGGAGAGGCAAGGGGAAUUCCACGUGUAGCGGUGAAAUGCGUAGAGAUGUGGAGGAACACCUGUGGCGAAGGCGCCUUGCUGGCCGAUUUCGUGACGCUGAGGCGCGAAAGCGUGGGGAGCAA